rnacentral:rRNA from 1 species
GGUAGCAUAAUCACUUGUCCUCUAAAUAAGGACUAGCAUGAACGGCUAAAUGAGGAUUACACUGUCUCUUGUAAUCAACCAAUGAAACUGAUCUUGUAGUCCAAAAGCUACAAUAAACACACCAGACGAGAAGACCCUGUGGAGCUUCCAAACCAAAACCAAAUUAAUGACCAUUUGGUUUUUAGUUGGGGCAACUUCGGAGUACACACCAACCUCCGACAAAAUAAGUUAAGACAAACAAGUCUAAAUAAUUUACUCGACCCAAUGAUCUACCCCAGAUUAUUUGACCAAUGAACCAAGUUACCCCAGGGAUAACAGCGCUAUCCCCUUUUAGAGUCCCUAUCGACAAGGGGGCUUACGACCUCGAUGUUGGAUCAGGACACCCC